rnacentral:tRNA from 1 species
GAGGGUAUGGCUCAGUGGCAGAGCACUUGUUUUGGAGGCACGAGAUCCUGGGUUCAAUCCCCAGUACCUCCA